rnacentral:lncRNA from 1 species
CAACCCUGUCACCAAGCAUGUCCAUGGGAAAUCCGGCGCCUACUGCACUGACCCGUGCAGGGCCAGCAACUGUGGGCCCAGCAGCAGCUGGCGGUCUGGUGCCAUGCCAGGGAAUCUGCUCGCUGGGAGCUUUCUUUUGUUCUGGUUUCUGGGCAGGGCCUCCCUGCUAAUGGCGAGCAGAGGCCUUCCCUGCCGAUUCGACGGGGGAGAGACAAAGAAGACCACUCACUCUGUCAUCUUGGUCCCGCCACCCUUAGGCCACUUUUUAAAGACACCCCGCCAUAGAUUGCC